AUCUCGCGGCCUAUCAGCUUGUUGGUGAGGUAAUGGCUCACCAAGGCGACGACGGGUAGCCGGCCUGAGAGGGCGACCGGCCACACUGGGACUGAGACACGGCCCAGACUCCUACGGGAGGCAGCAGUGGGGAAUAUUGCACAAUGGGCGAAAGCCUGAUGCAGCGACGCCGCGUGAGGGAUGACGGCCUUCGGGUUGUAAACCUCUUUCAGCAGGGAAGAAGCGAAAGUGACGGUACCUGCAGAAGAAGCGCCGGCUAACUACGUGCCAGCAGCCGCGGUAAUACGUAGGGCGCAAGCGUUGUCCGGAAUUAUUGGGCGUAAAGAGCUCGUAGGCGGUCUGUCGCGUCGGAUGUGAAAGCCCGGGGCUUAACCCCGGGUCUGCAUUCGAUACGGGCAGACUAGAGUGUGGUAGGGGAGAUCGGAAUUCCUGGUGUAGCGGUGAAAUGCGCAGAUAUCAGGAGGAACACCGGUGGCGAAGGCGGAUCUCUGGGCCAUUACUGACGCUGAGGAGCGAAAGCGUGGGGAGCGAACAGGAUUAGAUACCCUGGUAGUCCACGCCGUAAACGGUGGGAACUAGGUGUUGGCGACAUUCCACGUCGUCGGUGCCGCAGCUAACGCAUUAAGUUCCCCGCCUGGGGAGUACGGAAGCUUGGAAUUCG
rnacentral:rRNA from 1 species